rnacentral:tmRNA from 4 species
GGGGUUGACACGGUUUUGACAGCAAGAUGAAUCGAAAUGUAAGCAUGUCGAGCAUUGUAGUAUAACUCGUAAAACUGUAUUACAAAACUAUAAUUGGCGAAAAUAACUACGCACUCGCUGCUUAAUUGAAGUUUAGUAAAUUAAGCUCUCUCGGCUCUAGGAGCUGAGACGGGUUGUCUCUCCAGAGUCAUUCUCUACGAUAAUGGAAUAGGAGGCACAAGUUUGUUAGAGAUAGUCGAAUGAAAGUCCUGAUUGUUUGGCGAAAAUAAAGGGAAUAAGGUUCAGUUUGGUUGCCACUUGCCGGUCUGCUCACGAAAAUUAAGAAAUGGCUAAACAUGUAGAAAGCCUUUGGGUUUCUUGUUUGGACCCGGGUUCGAGUCCCGGCAGCUCCACUG